UUCAGUACUCACCGUAAACUGCCAGGUUUUUCUGCAGAUCCUUGUAUGUUUUGUCGGGGAGCACCAGUCCCACUCUCCUCAGCACAUUUUUCAGAUUUUCAAUCUCAACCUUCUUCCCUUUAGAAAGAUGCAGAUUUUUAACAGCUCGGGAAGAAAUGGAAAGGCGAGGCUGGGAGUUUAAGGACAUCACCCAUCACUGAGUACCGUUCUGAGAGCUACAGUCAUUCUCUCCCUCUGGCCACUGGUUCUGGGUCUGAAUUCCAGAACACUCUCAGGAAGACCCUGGGCAGCAGCUCAUCUCUUAUUUUCUUCCUAAUGGAUUACACUGGUUUGCCUCUUUGACAUUCCUGUCAAAGCUACAGUAGAAGACAGGCUACAGUAGAAGACAAAAUAAGCAGAAACUUGUAAACACGAGAAGGAAGAGACAGAGGAAGAAAUAUGGGUGAAGUGCAUUCAUUAACUGGCUGCACAGACUCUGUGGACAUGGUGAAAUGUUUUGUAAGCUUUCCUAAGAGACUGACUUUUUUUUUUUUAAACUCUUCUAAGAACUUAUACAGAAACCCUGACUUCCUUCUAGGACAGUGGUAUCUGAAAUACUCACCAUCGACAGGCAGAUGUUUCAUGAGAUCAUCAUAGUCUUCCUUCUCAAGUUCAAAUUCUGCAUUCUUCAAAAUGAGUGGUAGAUGACAGACUUGGACUUUUUUCCCUUAAGAAAUAAGGAGAUGGAAGUAAACACAAGGAAUUCCCAAAGUGGAAGAUGACAGCUUUAGGGACAUGGAGAGCGGGGCCAGAGAGACGGCUCAGUGGUUCAGAGCACUUUCUGCUCUCCCAGAAGCCUGCAGGUUGGUUCCUAGCACACACAUUAUGCAGCUCACAGUCACUCUAGCCCCAGGGGAGGUGACUCUCUUCUGGACUCCAUGGGCUCCUGCACACACGUGCAUAUACCCACAUACAAGACAUAUAAUUUAAACAUUAAAUCCUUAAAAAAGACUAUAGAUAUUAAAGACCACGGAUCCAGUCCCAGGGGGACAGUGAACUAUUGGCUGUUUUACAAGCCAGAUCAGUCACUGUUGGAGUUGGGAAGAGAAAAGCCCCCUCACUGAGGUGCAACUUCCAGGUGAAGUGAUCACAGAUGAAGAUACACUGUGACAAAGAUAACCUCAAAUCUGCUACAGUGACACAGCACCAACACCUUCCUCAGAUACGUAAGCCAAAAGAGGAAUGUUACGCUGUAAGCCGUAGGUGAGUUCCGAGGACAUAUUCAGAAUCAGCGAAACUAGCGGAAUCAUGGAAUAGCAAGAUUCUAAUCAGUGAGACCUUUAAACAACGUAAUUGCAAAGCACAGGAAUUGCAGGUCCUGUUCUCGGGAUUCUCACCUUUGAUUGAUGCCACACUGUCCAGUAAUCUCUUCUUAUAGACUGUUCCAUCUUCUGUAAGACAUGGCGAAACACAAGGAGAAGGAUGAGAAUCUCUGUAAUAUAUUCUCUCUCUCUCUGCCUUGUACAAGUGAGGCAAGCAGCUAUCACUAAGUGACACCUCUAGCCGUGAAAGUCUAUAAUUUUAUAAUAUUUUUAUAUGACUCACCUAGAAAUUUGUUUCAUCCUUAAAUAACAGCAGAAGGAUUGUGCUCAAUGCGCUGAGUCUAAGACUUAGUUGGAGCACAUGGCAGCUGGUAAGGCGCGUUACAGACACAUUUUUCUCUUCGGCGUUCUUCUUGGUUUCUCCUGGCAUUGCACUAUAGCCUCUGUCUUUCCAACCCUUUUCUCUGCCCAGGAGGCAUAUUUAUAUGUUUACCCCAAAUGGCAGACCAUAUAAAAGGAUAAUAUUAAAAAUAGUUACCAGUCAGGCACAAUAGUAUAUGCCUCCUCUCAGCAUUUGAGAAGCUGAGACAGGGGAUUACAAUUUGAGGACAACUUGGGCUACAUAGUAAGCUCAAGGCCAGUCUGAGGUAUGUAAUGAGUCUCUCUAAAAGUGUCAAUUUGAGCAGUAAUAAAAACAAACAUUUUAAAUUACUUGCUAAAUUAACUCCAUAAGCGAAGGUGAAGUAAAAUUGGGACAGAUAAUAUCCACCAGUACAACAUAUCCUUAUGGGUUCCAUCUGUCCCCAGAAAGCUCCAGCCUGUGGACCCUCGGUGUCUGGCACAUGUUUGAUGUAGUCUCCAGUCCAGGCCAUUUGCCUCUCCUUUAUACUUUCACAGAACCAAAGUGCUAAGAAAGCUGCAGGGUGUUAGAGGGCUUGCUUAGCAUGCAGAAGAGACCAUCCUGAUCACCAGCAGUAUCAAAGGGAAGGAGGGAGGCAGGGAAGGAAAGAAGGGAGGGUGUAAGGGAGGGAAGGAGGAGGCAAUUAUUGAGAUUGGUUUCUUGAGAGAACAAUGAGGAGGCAGGUGGGAGAGGUGGCAGAUGCAGCAAAUGGGCAGCUUUAGGUGCAUGUGGUGAGAAUUCAGAUGGGGGGGAUUGCAGACACAGGGCAUGGUAGUCUUAGGUACAUGUGUAAGAAUUCAGAAGGGGAGACUGCAGACACAGGGCAUGGGCAGCCUUAGGUGCAUGUGUAAGAAUUCAGAAGGGGAGACUGCAGACACAGGGCAUGGGCAGCCUUAGGUGCAUGCAACAAGAAUUCAGAUGGGGGAGAUUGCAGACACAGGGAAUGGGCAGCCUUAGGUGCAUGCAGUAAGAAUUCAGAUGGGGGAGAUUGCAGACACAGGGCAUGGGCAGCCUUAGGUGCAUGCAGUAAGAAUUCAGAUGGGGGAGAUUGCAGACACAGGGAAUGGGCAGCCUUAGGUGCAUGCAGUAAGAAUUCAGAUGGGGAGACUGCAGACACAGGGCAUGGGCAGCCUUAGGUGCACGCAACAAGAAUUCAGAUGGGGGAGAUUGCAGACACAGGGCAUGGGCAGCCUUAGGUGCAUGCAGUAAGAAUUCAGAUGGGGGAGAUUGCAGACACAGGGCAUGGGCAGCCUUAGGUGCAUGUGGUAAGAAUUCAGAUGGGGGAGAUUGCAGACACAGGGCAUGGGCAGUCUUAGGUGCAUGCAACAAGAAUUCAGAUGGGCACUGAGCUUUGACUGCUCAGGAUGCUGCUGCUCCCUCCAGGGGGCAAGAGUACCCUUGCCAAUGUGCAAGCUUGCCCUUGCUUGGGGGACAAUUGGGAUAGGAAGGAUGGGAGCUGGGGCAGGGAAGAAUGGCUCUGUCGGGGUCCUUGGAACUGGUCAGGAUGUACAGGUGAAGGUCAGGAUAGCUCUAGGUCUUUUUUCCCCACCAUGAGCCAUGCAGGUGAUCUGGAGGUAGAACUUUUGAGGGGCUUGUGGGUUAUGCCACCAACACAGUGGAUACUGUCUGUACAGAUGCAUGAUGCUGGAGGGACCCUGCUCACAGGAAUUUACUUUUAGCUGGAUUGUGGGGAGAUGGGAGGUUUCCCAGGGGACAGACAGAUGGGAGAUACACUGCAGGGAGCUGGGGGCGGGGCUACAGAAUUUAGCCAGGGCUCACUGGUUGAAUAGAAGUUUCUCAGUUUCAAAUUAAAACACAAACAAGACAAAGGCUUCUUAUUCACCACUGUUCUCACCCAGAAGCCCACAGUACCCCAUUCAUUUCUCUGAACACCAGCAGCAUGCUAAAUACUCACUAGUGAUGGGCAGAGAUUUCAAUAGCUUCAAUUCUUCUUUUUCAGUGAGGGCAAUUCCCAUGUUCCCCAGAACGUCUUUUAAGUCUUUGGUGUCAACUCUUUCUCCUUUAAGUAAAUGGGAGUUAUUUCAGGUUGAGAGAUAAUGUAAUGAACGACAGCACUAUCUCUAGCUGCUGGGUGAAGCAAGCACAAAGAUGUGAGCCAACACCACUAAAUUGGAGUGAUUUGAAAGUCAGUAUUUGAAAGCAAGUUUUAAGUCGGGUUAGAGGACAACACUUGUCUCCUGUGCUGGGGGUCAGUACAGCAUGGAGCAGCACUGUGUGACAACCGGUGACCGUGGCAGCACUACAGUUUGAGUUCUCUCUGAAGUUCACAUUGAAACUUCAUAUUCAGUACAGUGGUAACAAGAGGCAGGAGCUUAAGGAGGAAGUGAGGUCACGAGGCUUUUCCUGCAUGGGGUUACAGGCCUCUGGAGAGGCUCACAAAGCAGGAGGCCCUUGGUUUUCCCUUUCCACAUCCCCCACAAAGUGAGGACACAGUGUCCAAGGCACUAAAUCAGGAAGUGGCCCGAAACGCAGCAGACACUGAGUAUGCAAGUGUGUUGGUGUGGGCUUUCCAGACUCCACAGGGUUGAAAAAGAAUUAUCUACUGAUUAUAUGUUACUUAGACUGUGUUUUUUUUUUUAAAUAAAAGUAUGAGAACAUUAAGACAGACGGCAUGGGACUUACAUAAUUCUACUUACAUGUAAAAAUCUCUCAUUUCUACUUAAUGGCCUGAUUUAUGGGACUGACUGUUCAUACUGAUCAUAACCCUGAUGCAAAAAUUUUGUAUUCAGCUUCACUAUGGUAAUGUAUAUUUUGUUUCUUCAAACACUAGUGAAAUAAACACUGUACAGACACAAA